UCUGUCAUAUAUGGCUUUUAUUGUUUUAAGGAAUGUUCCUUCUAUUCCUAUUUUUUCCAGAGUUUUUAACAUGAAUGGGUGCUGCAUUCUGUCAA